CUAUUUCGUGGUACAUCAAUGGAGCUAUUGGUUUGGUCGCACUGCUGAUAACAGCUGUGUGUCUCAUCAUAAGGAAAAGAAUGAAAGGAAACAAAAUGCAGAAGAAUGAAAAUCCUGGACUGAGUUCAAACCCUGCAGAGACUCAAACCAAUCAGAACUCGGUGGAUCCUGAAGUUUCCUAUGUCACCAUCAGCAACACCUAGAAAACCAAGAUAAGGUGUUUUGUUUAGUGAUAUGUUUGUUUGUUUGUUAUUAUUUUAUCUAUAUAU